rnacentral:rRNA from 1 species
GAUGAACGCUGGCGGUGUGCCUAAUACAUGCCAGUCGAGCGACCAGACGAGGAGAUUGCUCCUCUACCGUUAGCGACGGACGGGUGAGUAAGAAGUGGAUAACCAACUUAUUAGUCUGGGAUAAUUUCGGGAAAACGGAGACACUACUAGCUCAUAUAAUCUACAGGUUGGAUCAAUAGAUCUUGAGGGCUUUCCCGUUUCUAUUAGCUGGAUUCGCGUCGCCUUAGUUAGUGGGUAAGGUAACACCUUACCAAGGCGACGAUGCGUAGCUGACCUGAGAGGAUGAUCAGCCACACUGGAACUGAGACACGGUCCAGACUCCUACGGGAGGCAGCAGUGGGGAAUCUUCGACAAUGGGCGAAAGCCUGACGCAGCAACGCCGCGUGAGUGAAGAAGGUCUUCGGAUCGUAAAGCUCUUUUGUUGGGGAAGAACAGCAGUAUGUGAAACCAUCGACGUCUUGACGGUACCUAAACAAAAAGCCACGGCUAACUUCGUG